UCUCUCUCCCGUCCCGCGCCACCACCGAGCGCCAGCGCCGCCGUCGCCGCCUCCGCCUCUGCCUCCCCCUCGCCCCAUCCCCGUCGCCGAGCGCCGCCACCACCCCCUCGCGCCGCCGCUUCCACUCCCGCCGCCGUCGCCGCCCCCUCAAACCCUAGCCGCCGCCACCCGCUCGCUCUCCCUCUCCCGCGCCGCUACCGAGCGCCGCCGCCUCCGCCUCCCCCUUGCGCCGUCCCCGUCGACCGGCACCGCCACCACCCCCUCGCGCCGCCGCCGCCGCCUUCCCAUCGCGCUGCCACCUCCGCCUCUCGCCGUCCCCAUCGACGGCCGGCUCCGGCUCCGGCUCCCCCUCACGCCGUCGCCGUCGCCGAGUGCAGCCGUCUCUGCCUCCGCCACCGCCAUCGCCGUCGCCGAGCGCCGCCGCUGCCGCUCCCUCCUUGUGUAAAUGCGGCCGAUUUGAGGACGGGGAUAGGGUUUUCGGGUGGAUUUGUGAGGGGGAUAGAUUAGAGUUUCUGGUUUUCUGGUUUGGUCAUCGGAGGAGAUGAGCUCGUCGACGGCGGCCAGCAUCGGGCCGCCGCAGCCGCCGCCGCCCCCCACGUCUCCCGAGGAAGAGAAGUGCCUCAACUUGGAGCUCUGGCACGCCUGCUCCAGCCCGCUCGUCUGCCUCCCCUCCGUCGGCACGCGCGUCGUCUACUUCCCGCAAGGCCACAGCGAGCAGGUGUCGUGGCUCAGUGCAAUGGGAUGCUCACUUCUGGUCAGCAUGGUGUCGCUCGUCUGUCUCGUCCUGCUCCAAUCCAGGGGAAACCAUCAAAGACCAUGGUGGAUUGCCUUGCCAUCUUCGUGGUCAUGAGACAAUGCACAGCUCGGUUGAUGAAGCCCUCUUGCUAAAUGUACCGCAUAAUCAAAUCAAGAUGCACCUUGUUUUUUGUUUUUUUUUGUUUUUUGUUUGCAUAAGAACUUUCAUUUGAGCUUUCAGUGUAUACUAGAUCGACUCCCGCCGCAAGCUUGUCCCAUUGAAUAGUGAUCCACCAUAACCAUUCACCAAUUCGGUUGCAAAUCUGAAAUUCUAUGAUCUUAGAUUCUUGGUACAGCUGGUGCUUCUUCUCCAAGACUCUCGCCGAGCGCGAGGCGUUCUAUUACGUGGUUGACAACGCUGCUGUCAUGGACUUCAUCACUGUGAACACCAGCGGCUCCAUCCUCAUCAACAUGCUCAAGUGAAAUAUCUUUGAAUAUUUUAUCGAUUACUCUGGAUCAUGUUGAAGGAUAUCUUGAAUCGGCUGCAAAGACAAUAAUUUCGUGACGACUUUGUUCAGGUGGGGUGCAGAGUACUACAUUAAAGUGGAUGUUGAUUUACAUGUAAAUUUAUAUGUGUGCGAAAUGUUGCCCUCUGAUCUAACAUCAUACCCCCCUUCUUUUAAGUCUUACUUUUCCUACUUAAAUUUGACCUAUUCAGACAUUUCAUUUGCAUUGAAUUUCUGCUAAGUAUUUGGCAUACAAAUUGUACACUCAAAGUUGAUAAAAUCUCAUGUUGUAUUUUAGAGAUGAUGCUUCUGAAGCUAAAUUUCAAACUCCAUACACUUUAAAAUUCUAUCUCAACUAUAGUGAGGCUCUAAAAACCAGAUCGAUAAAUGUUGCAGCAACUCUUCGAAACAUGCUAAGCAUCGGUCAAAGGCUCAAGCUUACAUUGGUUGCAUGAAAUCUGGUCCAGUCUUAGCUCAUAAAAAAGUUUCCCUGUUGACUAUUGCUGUUGUGUUUUCCCUGAUAUUUUUAACUCCUCACCAAAUGCCAUAUUUCCCUUAGCCUGAGUAUAGGAAAUUUGGUGAAUGGGGGAACAGGUGCAUUUGGUUUACAACAAUUCAGUUCUCUGUAAUCUCCAAGGAUCUAGCUUCUUACAUAUCAAUUCAGCCAGUAAGGUAUUUCUUCAAACAUGGUUUUUUAUCUACACGAUAUUUUUGUUUUUUUUCUAACAUUUACCCAUCAUUGACCAAGAACAAUGGUGUCAUUUCAGGCUUUUUCUCUAACAAGAGUCUCCCUGUUUUGCUGUCUGGCUUUGUAUAUCUACUAGCUUUACCUGUAUACAUAUAUGCAUUGGGGGUUAGCUCAGUUUUCUCUCACAUGCUUUAGUGUUACUAGCACAUGGUAGUAUUUUUCAUAGGUAUGUCAACAAAGUAGUUUGUAUGUAUAUCUUUAAAUUGCUUACUUAACAAAGAUGCGAAGAAUAUUGCUAAUGCUUCCCUGGUCACUAGGAAAUUAUGAAACCUCUGUCCAUAGACUUGCUAGCUAAUACUGGAUCACUAGACCUCAUUGGCGGGAGGGGGAGGAGAGGAGGGGUUUGGCUUCCCCCCACAAUUUGAGAUUGUUAUACAUUGUGGCUUAAAGAUUAAAUCAACACCACUCUUAACAAAUUAGGAUCGCUAGCUCCAUUACCAAAUGAUCCAUUCUACCUCAUAAAACAUUCUUUCUCCCCUAAUGGUUUCAAUUGGAAGAAAUUUCUUUCCUUUACCAGCUAUUUGUGUCAUUUAUAGUUGGUCGAGUUCUCAUUUCCUUUUUGAUUGAGUCCAUUGUUCUAAUCAUCUUUUGUUGUGUAGUGGCCAAACUAUCUGUGUUGGAUUGUUAUGGGAGUAUAUUAUAGGUCAUUUUCUAUCUUCAACAGCUCUUGUAUCAUUCAUUUGUUGCUCCAAAACACAUGGGUAUAUUGCUUCAGCAUUCUAUAAUGCACCCCAGGAGGUGCUUGCCUUAUGUUCUCUUCACAAUUUUUUUAAUUUUGGUUUGUCGUGUACUCUAUGUACUUCCCUCUUGUGCCUUGAUAUAUAUCCGGCGGUCUCAAUAUUAUUGGGAACUUGUCAUUGUGGUUGGCAGAUUCAUCUUUGAAGGAGCUGCAGGUUGGACUAAUUGUUUCCAUCCUUUUUUACUUUAAAUAAAUUUUUUGCUUUAUUGCUAAGCAGAUUAAUAUUUCAUUUGCAUAUGCAUAUAUUCUUUAUGUAUUUAUGUGGCCCAUCUUUCUUUUAGUGUUGGUUUGCCAGUUGUUUGUGUCACACCAUAAUUCUCAUAUUAAGAUAUAAUAAUUGUUCGUGCGAUUUCAAUCAAAGGCAUAUUUAAAAAUGAUAUGAGAAUUGUUCAUUAUAUCGAUGUUUAUUUAAGGGUUGUGCAAUUUAAGUCACUUAUUAUUGUACAACCAUCUAGCACAAACGUUUUUUUGUAUUUUAAGAACAAUUGAUCUAAUGUAAAUAAUUUCAUACAGGUUGUUCUAUAUGUGUUCCAACUGAUUCACUUGUAGAGUUAAUACAAAUAUUGGUUGAAAUGUACACACAUAUACGACAUUGGUGCCCAUCUCUUCUAUCACCAUCUGCGAGGCCUCACUCAAGGAGAUACACCAUCAGAAUUUUGUGAGGUAGAACGGGAUUGUUCAUUAUGGAAGAUUAGCACUACACUCUUGUUUGCUAGAGGCUGCAGAGUUUGAACUUGUUGAGCCCAUCUAAAUACUCUAAAGGAGAUGCUGAAAGAGGAGGUGGAUGAGAGCACUAAAAGAAAGUUUGAUAGUUGUGGGUUGUUCUUUGGUUUACUAUGGUUAAAAAACAAACUAUGCAGUUCAGUUUCUGAUAGUAUUUGUCUUCCCUAGCUAUUUAGAAUGUGUAAAGCAUGUUUAUUAUCUUAGUCUUAGCUUUCCAUUUCUGAUUUUGGGGCUAUCAUGUAUUCUAAUUCCCAUUUCUCCUUUGGUUGGGAACUCUGUGAUGUGAAUAGGCUUUGGUACUAAAUUUUUAUGUUGCUUUAACUAUAGAUUGAUAAUUGAACUUUGAGAUUCAUCUGUAUUGCAAAUAUCGCUUUGGUAUUACUGUUCUGACUCUGAUUAAGUUUGCAAAAUGAUGAUUCUCAUUGUAUGUU